UCCACCUCAUCUCCCCCAAUCCCAUGGGCCGGCGGCGACCUCCUCUCAACCAGCCCCCACCCAUCCAUCUCUCUAUCUCUCCAGCGUCCCCUCUCCCUCUCCCGUGGCGGCGCUCACCACUUCAACACCGUCGGCGACCACAACCAUGGCCUCCACCUCCCCUCCCCUCCCUGGCUAGAGACCCACUCCCUCCCCCGACUCCUCUCCCUCCCCCGACUCCUCUCCAAUGCCGCCGCUGGCGGACUACCACCCCCACCGGCGACCUCCCUCCCUCCCUUCCUCCUGAGAUCUACGGAUGUGGCAACAGCGGCCGAAACCCAGCCAUCGCCCAUGGAUGGAUGGGGACGGGGCACCGACGGCGGAUCCGCACCCACCUUCUCUCAGGGGAUCCUGCCGCGAUGGCCCUGGUGAUUUGCUACUGCAUCGUCUACUGCUUCAACCACGACGCCGUCAUCUACUGCUUGAACCACGAUGUCGGUUCUUCGUCGACCUCCACCACGCGCGCUGUCAUCCGUCCAUCUCCGGCCAUGGUGACCGCGGAUCUCCGACCAUGAUGGGGUAAGGAGUUGAAAGGCGCAGGUGGUCAGGCCUGCAAUGAGUGCGCCCUCCUGGUCUGCCGCCCUUGCUAUGAGUAUGAACAUGAGGAUGGCGUACAACAAGGAGUUGACGGCCUACUCAAGCGCCAAGGGAAGGCGGCAGGCUGGCAGCGCCACCAAGAGCCCAACACGAACCUCCAAUAUUGAGUCCUACCUGUAAUUCACGGAUAAGGUUGGUUGUGCCCCUCUGCUGGAGGAUCUCAGUCCAACUACUCUGGAUGCAUCUAUGACAUGGCGGACAAGGCAGUAGAAGCAUGUGACAUGGCAGCCAAGGGAGUUGUUUUGUGGGAUGAAGUGUUGGUAAAGACAACAAGCCCCAAGGAUCUGCGUAUGCGUUGCAAGUAACUCUGCCGCAACCGCGGCCGGCUGUGCCUCUUCCUUGGCUACAAACCACCUAGGUGAAUGGAACUCCG